GCUUUAAAGAAAGAAAAGGGGACAGGGUCUCUCAAUGACCUGGAACUCACUGAAUAGGCUAGGUUGCUGGCCAGCAAGCCCAAUCUGCCUCCUCCUCUAAAGAAAAGCAUCAUGCGUUGUUUUUGCUUUGUUUUGACUCUGUCUUUAACGUGAGUCUGGGGCCUAACCACAGGUCCUCAAGCUUGUGUAGCAAGUACUCCAACAACUGAACGCUCUCUUCAGCCCCCUUCUUAAAAUCAAAAAGAAAAAAGAGAGAAAUUACUAAAUAUCUUUUAUAAUGUAAAGAAAAAUUAAAGGUAGGAUAGUUAAAGAAAAAAAUUUAGGGGGGACAGAUUUCCUUCAGAAAGCUAAUCAUGAACAGGGAUAUACUCCCUAAAAUCAUUAAGAACAUUGAAAGCAGAAGGCAGGUGAACCUCUGAGCACGAGGCCAGCCUACUCUACAAGGUGAGCUCCAGGUCAGCCAGGGCUACACAAAAUAACCCUGUCUUGAAAAAACAAAAAGAAAGAGAAAGAACAAGAACAAAAACAUGUAAAGCAAUAAUAAACUGCCUGCAAUAACUAAAAUUCACUUACACAAAACCAGGAGACAGAGGUGGGGGUGGAGGGAGAAGAUCACUGAAUUGCAGAGGCGGGAGUGGAGGGGAACAUCACUGAAUUGCAGAGGUGGGGGUGGAGCGAAAGAUAACUGAACUGCUCACCGUUCAGAACAGGAAACAAAGACAUACUAAUAACCACAGAGCUUUAAAAUAUAAACUAUCUUUGGAGAUCUCUAGAGAAGAUAGGAAUAUUCCCAACAUUCCAAACUCCUUAAAUGGUCAGAAAGAGUUAGUAUCUUGUAUCACUUUUGUGAUUUAAAAUUCUAAAGUUAGCAGUGCUAGCGAUGGCUCCACAGUUGAGAGCUGACUGUUUCUGCAGAGGAUCUGAAUUUGGUUCCCACAGAGCAGUUUCCAAGCUCCAGGGGCUCCUGUGCACAAAGGAUCCACAUCCAAGGACUCCCAGGUACACACACACACAUGAACCUAAUUCUUCUAAAGACGGGAAUAUGGAGGAGCUGGAAAAUGGGUUAAAACACUUGAUCUUCUUGCCAAACCUUGAGGUCGGUUCUGAGCUCCCUCGGGGCAGCUUACAACCAUUCUUUAACUAGCUUCUAGGUGAUCUGGGAGAUCCAGUGUCCCACAGCAGCACAGACACACAUACACACAUGCAGGGAAAAUACUCAUAUACAUAAAAUAAAAAUAAGGUAUUCUAAUCAAAUAAGGAGAUUACCUAAAAGAACCUUCUGAAAUACUAUUAAUGGCUUCAGAAGACAAUUUAUCUUCCAGGGUGUAAUUACACAGUCUGAUGUUAUAAAUUUAAGUUAAAUUUCCAUGAGUCGAUACAAAUAUAAAAGCACAAAGCAACCUAGAAUGAACCUUUGUCUCAGUGAAGCCAUGCACAGUAGAUGCGUAAUGUAAGAGACGUGCUCUCCAGGUCGCCAUGGUCUGUGUCCAUUAUCAAGUGAACUCUUGUCAUCUUCCAAUCCCUUGCUGCUCCCCCCAUAAACACAAAACAAAAACCCAUGUAAUAGCAAAAUACAAGGAUUUUGCUUUAACUCCAGAACAUGUAACUGAGGCAGGAGAUUCAUGAGUUCAAGGAACGUGGGGGUGGGGGGUGGGGGGUGGGGAGUGUGUAUGUGAGUGUUAUGGUAGCCACAUGCUACAAAAAGUUAAAAAGCAGUCAAGAGACCGAGAAGGAAGGAUAGAGAAAGAUGAGUGUGGGAUAGCCUACUACUAUACUUCCAGUUUAAAUUUUCAACAAAUCCUUACUACUUUUUAAAAAGUUGCAAUUUUUAGGAAAAACCACUUCUGCAUUAAUCCACCCAGUUCUUUCCCAGUGCCCCACCCUGUAUUUCUCAAAUACCAGUGGUGUUUGAAUGGACCUUACAUCUGUCCAAUUCUAACUUCCAUUGGAUGCACAAAACAGAGUCAGUUUGUUACUGUGCAUGACUGAAGGGGAAACACACCUUAUACUGCACUUAGUCUUCUGCUAGGCUGCUUAGGAACUAGAGCUACUCAUGAAAACCAAAUUACAAGUGAGAUUCCACACCGGUCAGGAAUGCCUGCCCUUACUGUCAUCCACUGUGAAUUUCCCAACCUUCCAGGAGAAGACUUGCCAACACCACAGUAGCUCCACUUCAGCAGGGAGAAUGAAAACUUUGUACAGCAUACACCAAGUGGGGUCCAUCAGUAUGGCUGUUUCCUCAGGAAGGAACAUCUAUAUAACCAGAGAUUAUGCGUCUUUCAUGAGGUAAGCCCGUAGAAAUCCCAUGAUCAAUGUGCCCCAGUG
ensembl:lincRNA Gm26823 predicted gene, 26823